rnacentral:lncRNA from 1 species
UUGAGCAACUAUUGUAUGCCUUAAUCCUCCCUUCUAAAAAAGUUAACCAUUGUUUCCAUUUUUCAGACAGGAAUUCCUAGCCGAUAAGUGGUAGAGUCAGGAUUCAACUGCAGGUCAGUCUGACAUAAAGACCAAAAUCUGUGCAAGAAGACUGCCUUCACUGAGCUGGAUGUCAGGUAUUUCAGAAUUGGGCUCACCCUUGUGUAUACUCGUCAUUGUGAUACCUUCCCUUGUUUGAAUCCACAGAAACUCCUGUUCCUCUAGUUCUGGGAAGGCAGAUUUGAGACACUCCCAUCUCCUGUCCUUCCACCGGUGUUAAUAAACCUGCUUUCUCUCAUCACCAUCCCGCUGUGGACUCCAAUUCAUCUGCUCUGGGCAAGAACCCAGAGGGACCCCUG